rnacentral:rRNA from 1 species
UACGAAGGGGCUAGCGUUGCCCGGAAUCACUGGGCGUAAAGCGCACGUAGGCGGCUUUCUAAGUCAGGGUGAAAUCCUGGAGCUCAACUCCAGAACUGCCUUUGAUACUGGAGAGCUAGAGUCCGGAAGAGGUGAGUGGAACUGCGAGUGUAGAGGUGAAAUUCGUAGAUAUUCGCAAGAACACCAGUGGCGAAGGCGGCUCACUGGUCCGGUACUGACGCUGAGGUGCGAAAGCGUGGGGAGCAAACAGGG